AUACGGAGGACGCGAGCGUUAUCCGGAUUCAUUGGGUUUAAAGGGUGCGCAGGCGGCCGUGCAAGUCAGCGGUGAAAGCCCGGGGCUCAACCCCGGAAGUGCCGUUGAUACUGCAUGGCUGGAAUGCGGUCGAGGCGGGCGGAACGUGGCGGGUAGUGGUGAAAUGCGUAGAUAUGCCACAGAACGCCGAUAGCGGAGGCAGCUCGCAAGGCCUGCAUUGACGCUCGGGCACGAAAGCGUGGGGAUCGAACAGGAUUAGAUACCCUGGUAGUCCACGCCGUAAACGAUGGGCGCUCGUCGUCGGCGGCAGACAGUCGGCGGCCAAGCGAAAGCGAUAAGCGCCCCACCUGGGGAGUACGGUCGCAAGGCUGAAACUCAAAGGAAUUGGCGGGG
rnacentral:rRNA from 1 species